GGCCGAAAAUAUUUUUCCUCAUCUCACUUUUGUACUUUUCCCAAUUACUUUCAAUCUGUGGUCUCUCGGUCUCAAUCCUUUCUCAAUUGGGAACACUUUCUCCCUAUUUAUUCUGUUCAGGCCCCUCCUGAUUUGAAUUCCUCGAACAAAUCUCCUUUCAGCCUUCUCCAAAGAAGACAGUCCCAAAUUCUCCAGUAGAUCUUCAUAACUGAUGUUCCUCAUCCCUGGAAUGACCUUUGGGAAUAUAAUUUGUCAUCACUACAAAACAUUCACAUGCUUCCUGAAUUAGUCACAUUAUCUAUGUCCCUCAUGGUUUUAUAAAUGUCUCAGCCUCCGAUGCUGCAGGGAAAAU